GACGAACGCUGGCGGCGUGCUUAACACAUGCAAGUCGAACGGAAAGGCCCUGCUUUUGUGGGGUGCUCGAGUGGCGAACGGGUGAGUAACACGUGAGUAACCUGCCCUUGACUUUGGGAUAACUUCAGGAAACUGGGGCUAAUACCGGAUAGGAGCUCCUGCUGCAUGGUGGGGGUUGGAAAGUUUCGGCGGUUGGGGAUGGACUCGCGGCUUAUCAGCUUGUUGGUGGGGUAGUGGCUUACCAAGGCUUUGACGGGUAGCCGGCCUGUGAGGGUGACCGGCCACAUUGGGACUGAGAUACGGCCCAGACUCCUACGGGAGGCAGCAGUGGGGAAUAUUGCACAAUGGGCGGAAGCCUGAUGCAGCAACGCCGCGUGCGGGAUGACGGCCUUCGGGUUGUAAACCGCCUUCGCCUGUGACGAAGCGUGAGUGACGGUAAUGGGUAAAGAAGCACCGGCUAACUACGUG
rnacentral:rRNA from 1 species